rnacentral:rRNA from 1 species
UAAGGAAUAUUGGACAAUGGACGCAAGUCUGAUCCAGCCAUGCCGCGUGAAGGAUGAAUGCCCUCUGGGUUGUAAACUUCUUUUAUAGGGGAAGAAAGAUACUUUUUUUAAGGUAGUUGACGGUACCCUAUGAAUAAGCACCGGCUAACUCCGUGCCAGCAGCCGCGGUAAUACGGAGGGUGCAAGCGUUAUCCGGAUUUACUGGGUUUAAAGGGUGCGUAGGCGGAAAGAUAAGUCAGCCUGUGAAAGUUUGCGGCUCAACCGUAAAAUUGCAGUUGAUACUGUUUUUCUUGAGUGUACAUAAGGUAGGCGGAAUUCGUGGUGUAGCGGUGAAAUGCUUAGAUAUCACGAAGAACUCCGAUUGCGAAGGCAGCUUACCGGGGUACAACUGACGCUGAUGCACGAAAGUGUGGGUAUCAAACA